CAGUCGCCGCGGUAAUACGAAGGGGGCUAGCGUUACUCGGAAUUACUGGGCGUAAAGGGCGCGUAGGCGGCACGAUUAGUCAGGCGUGAAAUUCCUGGGCUCAACCUGGGGACUGCGCUUGAUACGGUCGAGCUAGAGGAUGGAAGAGGGUCGUGGAAUACCCAGUGUAGAGGUGAAAUUCGUAGAUAUUGGGAAGAACACCGGUGGCGAAGGCGGCGACCUGGUCCAUUACUGACGCUGAGGCGCGACAGCGUGGGGAGCAAACAGGAUUAGAUACCCGCGUAGUCCCUGUCUCUUAUAC
rnacentral:rRNA from 1 species